rnacentral:rRNA from 1 species
UACGUAGGGGGCUAGCGUUGUCCGGAUUUAUUGGGCGUAAAGAGCGUGUAGGCGGCCAGGUAGGUCUGCUGUGAAAACUCGAGGCUCAACCUCGAGACGUCGGCGGAAACCAUCUGGCUAGAGUCCGGAAGAGGAGAGUGGAAUUCCUGGUGUAGCGGUGAAAUGCGUAGAUAUCUGGAGGAACACCGGUGGCGAAGGCGGCAUCCUGGACCAACACUGACGCUGAGGAGCGAAAGCCAGGGGAGCAAACGGG